AAGCUGCUGCUGCUGCUGCUGCUGCUGCUAACGUAGACAGAACUAAAUGCAGAAGUCCAUUUCUCAGAUUUUAAGAGAAACUGCAGACAGGUUGGAUGUCGUUGACACUCCACCGUCUGCUCCAGCCGGACUACCAAGACCAAGGGACCCUGUGGAUGCAGAAGUGGCAAGACUCUUUGCCCCCUACAGGAGUUCGCCAUCGAAGUACCUCGGGAAGCUCUCGCCAUCUUGGAGCUACAAGCGUGGUAACAUUUACACACAUGUUCUGCUGUUUAAGCAGUAAAACGUCCACACUGGUACCCACUCGCUAGCAGAAAUGUGAACUGGCAGAUGCUGGUUUAGGAGAAAAAAGAAUAACUUUUCAAGGACAAGAGUCCUCCCCAGACUAUUUUAAGCAGUGCCUGAUGGAAGCAUACCCAAAACUGAGCGAAGCAGGGGGGUUUGAACUCAUGAAAAUCCGUGGCUCAACACGGAGCAGAGAACUGCUGCUCAUUGCCUGCCCAAGUACAGGCUACAAUGUAAAGUUUCUAAAGUCUGCUGAGACAAUGAUUGGUCAUGCCACUAUUUACAUCAGACCCCUUCAAAGAAGUCUGAAUACGGAUAAGGUCAGUCUAAGUUUGAAAUGUAAGGUAAAUUUUUAGGAUAGUUUCUAAAUGCUUUUGCAACAAAGAUAGGGCCAAUUAUGAAAAAAACAUUUAGGGAGUAAGGUAUGUGUGUGUGACACUGGUAUGUUGCCAGUUUUCACUAAUUUCUGAAUAACAUGCCAAUAACUACAUAUGUAAGCCAUUCCUAGUAGUGGAUCCUCACAGACAAUGGGACCUCUCAUCACGUGCCUGUCUUGUGGGGGUGAAUUCCAAUUUGUGGAAAUAAAGGCACACACUGAUGCAUGCAAGAGGCCAGAAACACAAGCAGCUGAGGUGCUGACAGCGUCACCUGUAGUCAGUGAAGAGAUGACAGCAUCAUCGGCAUCCACCUCAGGGCCAUCAGAGUCUUUGAUUCAGUCCAUAGAUCUGACAGAUUCCACGGAGAGCUGUACAUACAUGGAGUCAGACAAUGAUUGGAAGAGGGUUCAUGAUGCAGUACAGGCUGCAAAGCUCUUCAGGGAAAGUAUUCUGAAAAAAUCCGGCCAGGAGCUACACUUUAGAAUGGACCUUAGGGACUCCUCUGAAGACAGGAAGAAGAGAAUUCUUGCCUUCUAUAAAAGGCCAAAGGUGGAUUGGACUGCUCCCUUCCAAUGCACACUUGAAGUUUGUAAUGUAUGGACAAAGGCACAAACACACAGAUGCGGCAAAAAUAUUUCCUACCUUGGCGGAGGUAAGCAAGAGUGUAUGUACAUUUUGUAUUCUUAUCAUAGGUGAUGCAGCUAUUGGGGAAGGUGUGACCAGGCAUUGCCUUUCUACUAUAAUGUCCAAAUGCAAUUUGGAUUUCAAUGGAAAAUUGGAAACGGAAAGACCUUGUUGUUCGAAGGGGAAAAGGAUCAUCUUGUGCCCUCGAUGUCACAAGUCAUUGUAGAUAGUGACCUUUUCUUAGUUGCCGGACGCAUCAUAGGUCAUUCUUUCUUGCACAAUGGUCCAUGUCUGACUGGUCUAAGCCAAGCCAUUGUCCAUGUUUUGAGUGGUGGAAUGCCUGAAAUGGCCUGCAUUGACAUGGAAGACUGCUGUGACACAGAUGUCAGGGAGACAGUCAGACUGCUUGAAGGGUCCACAAUACUGACGGCAGAGCAGAAGCGGUCCAUCCAAGAGUUGGCACUGGGGUGGGAUCUCCCAGGAGUGACCAAUGAAAACAAGAGAUGGCUACUGGAGAAGCUCCUUUUUCAUGCAGUUCUUGGCCGAUCUCGACAGCAAAUUAAACAGCUAAAGAGAGGACUAAAAGAAACACGUGUAAUGGAUCAGCUGACAGAGAGGCCAGACACCAUCCCAUUGCUCUUUCCAAGGAGCUCUUCUGUUUCUUACCAGCCACACGUGAUUCUGGACAGAGUAACUUGGCCAAUGCAGUCCGACACUGAUGACGAGGAUGAUGAUACAAGUCUUGAAGACAAAUGUCACAUAUCUGGAUUCUUGAGAAAAUUUAUUGAAGAUGUUUCCAUAUAGUAUCUUCACUUGUGGUACUCCAAUCAUAUUCAUGGUCCUCAAUUGAUUUUAUACAUUAAAUGAAAGUCCAAGCUCCAAGUACAUUUACGAUGAAUGAGAAUGUGCUGAAUAGGUGAUCUAGGAGCCAUAUGGGGACAUAAUCCAAAAUUUGGCUUGCAUUUACAAAUACGUCAUUUUUCACAUGGUAUGUAUUAUAAGACUCUCCCAGUUAACCAACUAAAAUACUCUUAAUUGAAAACCUCUCACAUUCCCUACUGAUGUAGUGUACACUAUGCUUUUCAACUCUCAUAUAUAAAUUUAAAAUGUCAACAGAAAUAAACUUGACAGACUUUUCACAA